rnacentral:rRNA from 1 species
UACGGGGGGGGCAAGCGUUGUUCGGAAUUACUGGGCGUAAAGGGCUCGUAGGUGGCCAACUAAGUCAGACGUGAAAUCCCUCGGCUUAACCGGGGAACUGCGUCUGAUACUGGAUGGCUUGAGUUCGGGAGAGGGAUGCGGAAUUCCAGGUGUAGCGGUGAAAUUCGUAGAUAUCGGGAGGAACACCGGUGGCGAAGGCGGCGACCUGGGACAAUACUGACGCUGAGGUGCGAAAGCGUGGGGAGCAAACAGG